rnacentral:rRNA from 2 species
AAGCUGCUUGCAGUGGACGUUGAUUGACGUGAGUGGCGGACGGGUGAGUAACACGUGGGUAACCUACCCUUAAGUGGGGGAUAACAUUUGGAAACAGAUGCUAAUACCGCAUAACCAUUCAGACCACAUGGUCUGAAUGUAAAAGACGGCCUUUGGCUGUCACUUUUGGACGGACCCGCGGCGUAUUAGUUAGUUGGUAAGGUAACGGCUUACCAAGACAAUGAUACGUAGCCGACCUGAGAGGGUAAUCGGCCACAUUGGGACUGAGACACGGCCCAAACUCCUACGGGAGGCAGCAGUAGGGAAUCUUCCACAAUGGACGAAAGUCUGAUGGAGCAACGCCGCGUGAGUGAAGAAGGUUUUAGGAUCGUAAAACUCUGUUGUUGGAGAAGAACAGGGACUAGAGUAACUGUUAGUCCUUUGACGGUAUCCAACCAGAAAGCCACGGCUAACUACGUGCCAGCAGCCGCGGUAAUACGUAGGUGGCAAGCGUUGUCCGGAUUUAUUGGGCGUAAAGCGAGCGCAGGCGGUUUUUUAAGUCUGAUGUGAAAGCCUUCGGCUUAACCGAAGAAGUGCAUUAGAAACUGGG